UCGGCGAAGCGUGUUGCUUGCCAAUUGAGCAUACUUUCUCAUGCUCUGUUUAUGAAAUGCCUUAUACUUUGUCAUGCUCUGUUUAUGAAAUGCCUUAAAGUCAACACAGUAACUCAUUUGCAUCAGAUGUGGCUUAAAGGAAGCCUUGAGAGGUUCUAUAAGUUCGAGAAAAAGCUGAACAGACUUUCAAGUUUAGCUUGUUGUUCAUGUUCCCUCAGCCUUCUACAUAAGAGACCUGUCUGUCCCUUAAGGAGCCUGAGAGAGCUUACUGUAAAUAUAAUUUAAUUCCAUGAAUAUGUUCUCUUAUUCUCAAUCAUGGUUGCUUUUACGACCACCUCAUAUUUUUUUGUUCAAUAACUCAAUCGUAAUGUGUCUCACAAAAUAUGUUGAAUUACUGCCAUAUCUAUCACAUGCUGUAUAUAACUUUACUUUUGUUUAAAAAUAUUGUUUUCCUUUAUUUUCCCUCCACAAUCAGUCAAUUGAAAACCAAACCAUAACCCCUUUGUAUCAUAUUUAUUUUUAUAUCCUUUUUAAUCCGUUUGUAUGCUUUAUUCAGGGUCAUUGUCUUGGAUUCAAAAGCAUCCAAAGCUCUUCCUGUAUGUAAAAUAACUUUGUUUGCGCUUUGCAAUGUGUUGCAUUCCUGUUUAUUUAAUUCAAAUACAUUUGAUUCAAUUGCUUGGGAUGGAUGUUAAUAUCUGUGUCCAUCUUUUCAUAAUGUCUGUAUCUUAUUAGGGCAAUGGAUGUUGAUCUCUCUGAGGCAGGAAUGUCCAAAUAAGAACACACGCACGCACGCACGCACACGUACUCAGUUUCCUGAUAGGGAACUGAUCUACUGAGGGAGUUCCCUUUUUCACAAUAUUGGCUUCCAACCAGUUCAAUGACUCUCCAGGGUUAGAAAGGGGUUUGUUACAUUAUCUCAGUCAGUUGCUAAUAUUGCAAACCCUUAUUUGAAAUUCCAACACUACUACACUGGGCAUUCCAGAGCCUGAGCAGCAGCUUCAGAAAACUAUAGAGCUCACGGGCAAUUGGCUGGAUAAUGGACUCCUGGUGUAUCACUGACGAAGACAUGGCGGAGGUCAAGAAGGAAGCGUUGGAGCGUCUGCGUCCGUACCUCUGUGAGAAGCUAGUGGCAGACCGCCACCUGGACUACCUCCGGUCCAGGAGGGUCCUUACGCGGGACGACGCCGAGGACAUCUGCUGCAGGGUGGGGAACAGCAAGAAGACCGGUAGGAUGCUGGACUACUUAGCCGAGAACCCCAGGGGCCUCGACUACCUCGUGGAGUCCAUACGCCGAGUGAGGACCAAGGACUUUGUCAUCGGGAAGAUCACCAGCGAAGUCGAGGUGGUGAAGAUGGAGAGGACAGAGACGGCCAUCUUGUCAGCAGCAGGUAGUUCUUCGCCGGUCUGUAUAUGCAAAGAGAAAACUCCCUUUGUGUCGUUGCAGAGUGACAGUACUGGAUACAAAGGCAGUAGUGAAGCACAGUCCAUCCAAACCUCUCUGUCCAACUCCGAAGACAAGUGGGGUCAAAAUGAAGCAUCCUUUUUCUGGAGUGCACUUCCUGAAGGAGUUAGUGUCUCUUCUCUACACAGUCUGCCAAAACCAGGAGAGCAGGGUGCUCCUUCAGUGCCCCUUGAGGACUUCGAGCCCGGGACCUUAGAGUCUGAGAGCAGUGACCAGUUUCACACCCUCCGUUCCUUUUCAACCCCCCCUCUGUGAUGGAGUAAUACAGAAUGCCUGGAUGUCUGGACUCAAACACAGGUUGGAUUAUAUGGGGACAGUAAAGGGUUAGGUUUUAUUGUGUCAUAACUGUACAUGUCAUCGUUAUCUAAUGUUUUAUUUGCCAUAUUAUAAAAGCUUACAGUGAAUCCACAAGACGUGGUUUCUAACACGUUUGUUCUAGCAAUAAAAUGUUUUUCUGAAAACUUUUAUUGAAAUGCAAAAAAAACCUGUAGUUCUCCAUCAAGAAAAAAACAGAACUAUUACAAAAUGGAUGCGUGCCAGAAAGUUGUACUGGAGACUUCUAGUUUCAUAUCGUCAUCUGCCACAGUAUCAGGAAAUGGAGCACGGCACAGCUUCCUGUUUCUUUGAGGCACAGUCCCACUUCAUGUCCCUAUUUCAACUUCUGCCAGGCACCCAUAUUCUAGGAAAUGAUCAAAUCAACAUGUUUAUUUUCUGGGAUUUUAUUUUGAUUCAGGAUGCGCAAAGGAACUCUAAGGGAAACUAGUUAGUGACAGUUAUCCGUGUCAUAUGCACACUGAGGAAACAAAAACAUGUAAAGCUCCAAAUAGGCAUUUCAAUAAAUGUGUUAAUAAAUAUGA